rnacentral:rRNA from 1 species
AACGAACGCUGGCGGCAUGCCUAACACAUGCAAGUCGAACGAGACCUUCGGGUCUAGUGGCGCACGGGUGCGUAACGCGUGGGAACCUGCCCUUAGGUUCGGAAUAACUCCCCGAAAGGGGUGCUCAUACCGGAUAAUGUCUUCGGACCAAAGAUUUAUCGCCUUUGGAUGGGCCCGCGUUGGAUUAGCUAGUUGGUAGGGUAAAAGCCUACCAAGGCGACGAUCCAUAGCUGGUCUGAGAGGAUGAUCAGCCACACUGGGACUGAGACACGGCCCAGACUCCUACGGGAGGAAGCAGUGGGGAAGAUUGGACAAUGGGCGAAAGACUGAGCCAGCAAUGCCGCGUGAGUGAUGAAGGCCGUAGGGUUGUAAAGCUCGUUUACCCGGGAGGAUAAUGACAGGACCGGGAGAAUAAGCGCCGGCUAACUCCGUG